CCACUUCUUUUGGACCAAGACUGGUGGAAGGUCUUUGAAGACUUUUCCUGAUCCUCCCAAAGACCCCUGUAUUCCCUCAAUCUGAGCACUUAUCACCCCCAAGUGCCCCUGCAUCAUCUCCCCCCAGACUUCGAUCUGCACAGGGAGACAGGUCUUCGCUUCACUGUGGACUUGGAAUAGCUGUGUCAUCAGUUUCGGAUGUCUCAGGAAGCAAAAAGCCACUUGGUGAGCUGGCCUGGGCAUGGUCCACGGAGGCAACAUGAGCUUGGGAACCACAUGCCUUCAGGUGACUGCAGCCGGGCAACACCUCAGAAGCUUCUCAUUGUGGAAGAGAUGGUAAGCAGAGCUGUCAGCUAAACCACACCGCGACUUCUGACCCGAGGAAGUGGUGAGACAACAGAUAUUGUUGUCUGAAGCCACUAACUUUUAGACUGAUUUGUUACUUGGCAGUAGAUAGCUGAUAGAAGCCCAAUAUCCUCCACCCUACUGUUACCCUUUUGAGAAGUACAGAAUAUCGUUCUCUCUCUCUCCAUCUUCGCACUCCUGCAGGUUGCACCAUCUCCAC
rnacentral:lncRNA from 1 species